rnacentral:pre_miRNA from 14 species
AAAGGUGGUUAAAAUGACCUUGACGUAAAGUAGCAGCACAUAAUGGUUUGUGGGUUACACAGAGGUGCAGGCCAUACUGUGCUGCCGCCAAAACACAAGGCUUUCCUCCUCUCAAGUGG